GGAAGACAGAAUAAGAGAGGUCUGGGGAAGCUAGGCCCAGGGUUGGGGGAUCAGAAGGCAAUGUUCUUGGGGGAUCACCACCAUGACCUGGACUCUGCUCCUCCUCACCAUCCUCACUCAGGGCUCAGGUUCCUGGGCCCAGACUCCCCUGACUCAGCCUCCCUCAGUGUCUGGGUCUCCUGCACAGUCUGUCACCAUCUCCUGUGCUGGAAGCAGCAAUGAUGUUGGGUAUGGUAGUUAUGUCUCCUGGUACCAACAACAACCGGGCACGGCCCCUAAACUCCUGAUUUAUGAAGUCACAAAGCGGCCCUCAGGGAUCCCUGAUCGCUUCUCUGGCUCCAAGUCUGGCAACACGGCCUCCCUGACCAUCUCUGGGCUCCAGGCUGAGGAUGAGGCUGAUUACUACUGUGCUUCAUAUAGGAGUGGUAACACUCUCCACAGUGGUGCAAGUUGAUGGGGAAGUGAG